AGGCCCAACUUCUCCGACGCUCCGAAACAGCCGAACAGAGUGGGAACUGGGAAGCGGCAACACAAACCAAACCCUAGCGUGGGAAGCGGCGGCGACCGGGCGACGGCAAGCGGCGGCGACGUGAGCAGGGUUGGCCACCAACGGCGGAGCGACGCGCGAGUGCUGCGGGCUGCGGCGAGCGGAAGGCGGCGCACCACGCGCGGGCUGCGGCGGCAGGCCGGCGAGUGUGACUGGGAUUGGGCUGUUGGGCGAGCUCGGCUGACUGAAUGUGCCAUUGUAGUUGAUGAAGCUCCCCUAAUUGAAGAACCACCAACAGUUGCCAUAGUCGAUGUCAUUUAUGUAGGCUGGUUUCUCUUUUCUAAUAAUUUGCCAUUUUAUCUUUUGUACUUUACUGUUGCUUUUACAGAUUCUGAGACUGAUUUCUCUUUCAAGGAUGCCAACAAACUGUGCUCUCUUAUUCGGAAGCAGCAAGCCCUUGCCAAAAAGAAAAGGAAAUGGCUGCGGUCUCUGAUUCCAAGGGAAGACGGUCUCAUCAAACCUAUCAAACGACCCAAGUUUCUAAAAGAUGUGUACUUGGCUGAAUCAUAUGUAAGGAGUGAUGAGGUUUCUUGUGAGAAAGUCAUAGCCCAUGUUGAAAAAUGUUAUGGUUUCCAAAGCGAUGGCUACAGCCACCACAUUGUUCAGGAUGGCCUCCAGCUUUUUAAGUUGCAAAAAGGCAAGGAUGGCUCACUCAGUCCACAAGGUCUUGCAGACAUGCAACUCAUAAUAAAUAAGUUAAGCAAUGAAGCACUUCAUUCAGUGGCUAACAUCGCCACCCACAAUAGGGUUAGUUUUGAGAAGACCAGGCCAGCGAUGAAAAAGAUCAUAGAAGACCACCUACCACAAUACUUGGCAAACUUGCAUGAUGAAAAUGACAUGUCUCAGCUGUCGCACAUUUUAACAAAUCCAUUCAGUUACCGAUCUAAUUCCUUAAACAUUACAACACCUAUUUCACCGAAAAUGCUAUCAUCCAUCGACCAGGCAUUAAAUGUACUCAGUACACUGACUAUACAAGCUCUUGUUGCAAUGAAAAGGAAGCUUGAUGAAGUAUCUUUCACCCCAAAAUUUAGUUUUGUACCUCGUAUAAGCAGAAAGGCGCAUAUGGUUACUGUGAUUAGGAAAGAGUGCAAUAAGAUGAUUUCAAGGGUUGGGGAAAGUGGUGACCUGCCAAAGAAUUUGGCAAAAGCACUGUCAGUGGUGAAUCUGUAUAGGAAGCAAGAGUUGAAAUGCAUGGACAUCUCACAGGCAGAGUUCUUUCCAUUCUCAAAAAAAGCAAUUUUCUUGCAAAAUGAUGUCCUGAAUGCUAUUUGGUCAAUUCAAAAGUUGAAGAAAGGGGAUCUUAAAUUGCUGCGUGCCAUACUAUGUCAAGGUUCAAACGAUGAGAUGCUGCUAAAGACUACUGUGAGAAGGUAUUUGAUAGAUUGUUUGUUUGAAUGUGAUGAGGGUGAUUUACCAGAUGAGGCACUGAGAGCCAUUGCUUUGUGCAAUCAGAUGCCGCUGCGUCAAAAAAUUGAUUUCACAGAACAAAGGAAGGGUGCAGAGUUAGAAGCUGUACUGAAUGUAAGCAGUAGUCUUAGAGCUCUAGUAUAUCAUUGUACAGGAGGCCAAACUGAUGAUCAGUUAAUGAACUGUGAGAGUGAAUGCCACAGCGAUGAACAAGUGAUGAGCUUAGGUUGUGAUGACUACAGUUGUGAUAAUGAUUUCGUGCUCACAGAGGGUUACAAAAAUUUUGGUCAUCAGCAGCAUAAAAUAGAUGAAGCUUGUUCGAGUAGCAUGGUCAACCCUGUCAGUGUGAGUGGACAUUUCUCGAGUGGAGCUGGUAGUAAUAUGAAGAAACCUACUUUGCAUGAGGUUGUUGGUGCCAAUGAAGUGGAAAUAAGAAGAAGCUCCAUGGGCCUUUCCGAGAUUUGUGAUGAUGCUGCAAUUUUGGCCCACAAGCUUCUAGGGAAAAUUCUGGACAACACGUUGCUUGCAGAAAACAAGGUCAAUGGACUUGCCGGAUACUCUCUUGAUGGUUCUACUUCGCAUGGUCCUCAAGGUACAUUUUGGACCACCAUUGAACCUUCAUUGUUUUUGUUUUGGUCUUGUUUUGUUUUAGUUUGCAAUGCCCUUCAAGGUUCAUAUGAUAUAUUUGCCAUAGAUCCUGCAGAAAAGAACCAAAAAGCUGACAUUGUGAUUAAAGCUAUUGAGAAUGUCUUACCGAAUCUGCCAAAAAGGUCCUUUUUUUCCCUCCACCCCUUCAUUGCAUAUAAACACACUAAUACUAUAUGUUUGUGCAGCUGCAUGGACAAAGUGAGGAGGAUGUUGCAUGAUGAUAAACAAUGAGUAUGGUCUGCAAAAAUAAUGCUUGUUUGGUGCCAAUCAGUUCACUCAAAUGAGACUCAAUGGUGUUGCCUUUUGAAGAGCAGAUGGUAGUCUGAUUGAAAUGGAACUGCUUGUUCAUAUAUAUGUCACCAUUUUCUUUUGGUUGAACCUGUUAAUGUUACACUUAUGAUACAUAUACUACUAUCCAACAUCAUUAUAACCUCGC
rnacentral:lncRNA from 1 species